CCUACGGGCGGCAGCAGUGGGGAAUAUUGGUCAAUGGGGGGAACUCUGAUCCAGCGACGCCGCGUGAGUGAAGAAGUAUUUCGGUAUGUAAAGCUCUAUCAGCAGGGAAGAAAGAAAUGACGGUACCUGACUAAGAAGCCCCGGCUAACUACGUGCCAGCAGCCGCGGGAAUACGUAGGGGGCAAGCGUUAUCCGGAUUUACUGGGUGUAAAGGGAGCGUAGACGGCGAUGCAAGUCUGAAGUGAAAGGCGGGGGCCCAACCCCCGGACUGCUUUGGAAACUGUAUGGCUAGAUUGCAGGAGAGGCAAGUGGAAUUCCUAGUGUAGCGGUGAAAUGCGUAGAUAUUAGGAGGAACACCAGUGGCGAAGGCGGCUUGCUGGACUGUAAAUGACGCUGAGGCUCGAAAGCGUGGGGAGCAAACAGGAUUAGAUACCCCUGUAGUC
rnacentral:rRNA from 1 species